GGUUGAGAAAAAUAAAAUCAAACAUACUGUAUUGAAAAAUAUAUUUUCUCAUGUUCUAGUAGUGCUAUCUAUCAUGGGCAAAAGCAGCAGCUGACAUGGAGUGAUGACUCCAUUCUGUCUUCCCUGACAAGCCCAGAUAAGACACUGGUUGGCAUCUGACAGCUCAGUCACAAGGGAUCUGUUUGUUGGCAGCACUGGCAUCCUUGGCUAUGAUCUGACAUUUUAAGCUGAGACC